rnacentral:rRNA from 1 species
AGGUUAAGUGAAUAAGGGCGCACGGUGGAUGCCUUGGCACUAGGAGCCGAUGAAGGACGGGACUAACACCGAUAUGCUUUGGGGAGCUGUAAGUAAGCUAUGAUCCAGAGAUUUCCGAAUGGGGGAACCCAAUAUCUUUUAUAGGAUAUUACUUUUCAGUGAAUACAUAGCUGAUUAGAGGUAGACGCAGAGAACUGAAACAUCUUAGUACCUGCAGGAAGAGAAAGAAAAUUCGAUUCCCUGAGUAGCGGCGAGCGAAACGGGAAGAGCCCAAACCAACAAGCUUGCUUGUUGGGGUUGUAGGACUCCAAUAUGGUAGUCUGUUAGUAUAGUUGAAGGAUUUGGAAAAUUCCGCUAAAGAGGGUGAAAGCCCCGUAGACGAAAUGCUAACAACACCUAGGAGGAUCCUGAGUACGGCGGAACACGAGAAAUUCCGUCGGAAUCCGCGGGGACCAUCCCGCAAGGCUAAAUACUCCCUAGUGACCGAUAGUGAACCAGUACCGUGAGGGAAAGGUGAAAAGCACCCCGGAAGGGGAGUGAAAUAGAUCCUGAAACCGUGUGCCUACAACAAGUCAAAGCUCGUUAAUGAGUGAUGGCGUGCCUUUUGUAGAAUGAACCGGCGAGUUACGAUUGCAUGCGAGGUUAAGUCGAAGAGACGGAGCCGCAGCGAAAGCGAGUCUGAAUAGGGCGAAUGAGUAUGUAGUCGUAGACCCGAAACCAUGUGAUCUACCCAUGUCCAGGUUGAAGGUGCGGUAAAACGCACUGGAGGACCGAACCCACGUACGUUGAAAAGUGCGGGGAUGAGGUGUGGGUAGCGGAGAAAUUCCAAACGAACUUGGAGAUAGCUGGUUCUCUCCGAAAUAGCUUUAGGGCUAGCCUCGGAAUUGAGAAUGAUGGAGGUAGAGCACUGUUUGGACUAGGGGCCCAUCUCGGGUUACCGAAUUCAGAUAAACUCCGAAUGCCAUUCAUUUAUAUCCGGGAGUCAGACUGCGAGUGAUAAGAUCCGUAGUCGAAAGGGAAACAGCCCAGACCACCAGCUAAGGUCCCAAAAUAUAUGUUAAGUGGAAAAGGAUGUGGGGUUGCACAGACAACUAGGAUGUUGGCUUAGAAGCAGCCACCAUUUAAAGAGUGCGUAAUAGCUCACUAGUCGAGUGACCCUGCGCCGAAAAUGUACCGGGCUAAACAUAUUACCGAAGCUGUGGACUACACCAUUAGGUGUAGUGGUAGGAGAGCGUUCUAAGGGCGUUGAAGGUCGAUCGUGAGGACGGCUGGAGCGCUUAGAAGUGAGAAUGCCGGUAUGAGUAGCGAAAGACAGGUGAGAAUCCUGUCCACCGUAUGACUAAGGUUUCCUGGGGAAGGCUCGUCCGCCCAGGGUUAGUCGGGACCUAAGCCGAGGCCGAUAGGCGUAGGCGAUGGACAACAGGUUGAUAUUCCUGUACCAGUUGUUUUUGUUUGAGCAAUGGAGGGACGCAGUAGGCUAAGGAAUGCAUGCGAUUGGAAGUGCAUGUCCAAGCAAUGAGUCUUGAGUAGAGUUAAAUGCUUUACUCUCUAAGGACAAGUUGUGACGGGGAGCGAAAUAAUAGUAGCGAAGUUCCUGAUGUCACACUGCCAAGAAAAGCUUCUAGUGAGAAAACAACUGCCCGUACCGUAAACCGACACAGGUAGUCGAGGAGAGUAUCCUAAGGUGAGCGAGCGAACUCUCGUUAAGGAACUCGGCAAAAUGACCCCGUAACUUCGGGAGAAGGGGUGCUGACUUCGGUCAGCCGCAGUGAAUAGGCCCAAGCGACUGUUUAUCAAAAACACAGGUCUCUGCAAAAUCGUAAGAUGAAGUAUAGGGGCUGACGCCUGCCCGGUGCUGGAAGGUUAAGAGGAUGGGUUAGCUUCGGCGAAGCUCAGAAUUGAAGCCCCAGUAAACGGCGGCCGUAACUAUAACGGUCCUAAGGUAGCGAAAUUCCUUGUCGGGUAAGUUCCGACCCGCACGAAAGGCGUAACGAUUUGGGCACUGUCUCAACGAGAGACUCGGUGAAAUUUUAGUACCUGUGAAGAUGCAGGUUACCCGCGACAGGACGGAAAGACCCCAUGGAGCUUUACUGUAGUUUGAUAUUGAGUGUUUGUACCACAUGUACAGGAUAGGUAGGAGCCGAUGAGACCGGAACGCUAGUUUCGGAGGAGGCGCUGGUGGGAUACUACCCUUGUGUUAUGAACCCUCUAACCCGCACCACUAAUCGUGGUGGGAGACAGUGUCAGAUGGGCAGUUUGACUGGGGCGGUCGCCUCCUAAAAGGUAACGGAGGCGCCCAAAGGUUCCCUCAGAAUGGUUGGAAAUCAUUCGAAGAGUGUAAAGGCAGAAGGGAGCUUGACUGCGAGACCUACAAGUCGAGCAGGGACGAAAGUCGGGCUUAGUGAUCCGGUGGUUCCGCAUGGAAGGGCCAUCGCUCAACGGAUAAAAGCUACCCUGGGGAUAACAGGCUUAUCUCCCCCAAGAGUCCACAUCGACGGGGAGGUUUGGCACCUCGAUGUCGGCUCGUCGCAUCCUGGGGCUGUAGUCGGUCCCAAGGGUUGGGCUGUUCGCCCAUUAAAGCGGCACGCGAGCUGGGUUCAGAACGUCGUGAGACAGUUCGGUCCCUAUCCGUCGCGGGCGUUGGAAAUUUGAGAGGAGCUGUCCUUAGUACGAGAGGACCGGGAUGGACUUACCGCUGGUGUACCAGUUGUUCUGCCAAGGGCAUUGCUGGGUAGCUAUGUAGGGAAGGGAUAAACGCUGAAAGCAUCUAAGUGUGAAGCCCACCUCAAGAUGAGAUUUCCCAUUUCUUUAAGAAAGUAAGACCCCUGAGAGAUGAUCAGGUAGAUAGGUUGGAAGUGGAAGGCUAGUGAUAGUUGGAGCGGACCAAUACUAAUCGGUCGAGGACUUAACCAAA